rnacentral:rRNA from 1 species
GAGCGGAGUGAUGAGAAGCUUGCUUCUCGGAUGCUUAGCGGCGGACGGGUGAGUAACACGUAGGCAACCUGCCCUCAAGCUUGGGACAACUACCGGAAACGGUAGCUAAUACCGAAUACAUGAUUUGUUCGCCUGAACGAAUCUGGAAAGACGGAGCAAUCUGUCACUUGAGGAUGGGCCUGCGGCGCAUUAGCUAGUUGGUGAGGUAACGGCUCACCAAGGCGACGAUGCGUAGCCGACCUGAGAGGGUGAUCGGCCACACUGGGACUGAGACACGGCCCAGACUCCUACGGGAGGCAGCAGUAGGGAAUCUUCCGCAAUGGACGCAAGUCUGACGGAGCAACGCCGCGUGAGUGAUGAAGGUUUUCGGAUCGUAAAGCUCUGUUGCCAGGGAAGAACGUCCGAUAGAGUAACUGCUAUCGGAGUGACGGUACCUGAGAAGAAAGCCCCGGCUAACUACGUGCCAGCAGCCGCGGUAAUACGUAGGGGGCAAGCGUUGUCCGGAAUUAUUGGGCGUAAAGCGCGCGCAGGCGGCUUUUUAAGUCCGGUGUCACAGCCCAAGGCUCAACCUUGGGUCGCACUGGAAACUGGAGAGCUUGAGUACAGAAGAGGAAAGUGGAAUUCCACGUGUAGCGGUGAAAUGCGUAGAGAUGUGGAGGAACACCAGUGGC